AACGAACGCUGGCGGCGUGCUUAACACAUGCAAGUCGAGCGGUAAGGCCCUUUCGGGGGUACACGAGCGGCGAACGGGUGAGUAACACGUGGGUGACCUGCCCUCAGCUCUGGGAUAAGCCUGGGAAACCGGGUCUAAUACUGGAUAUGACUCCAUGACGCAUGUUGUGGGGUGGAAAGCCUUGUGCGGCUGAGGAUGGGCCCGCGGCCUAUCAGCUUGUUGGUGGGGUGANGGCCUACCAAGGCGACGACGGGUAGCCGGCCUGAGAGGGCGACCGGCCACACUGGGACUGAGACACGGCCCAGACUCCUACGGGAGGCAGC
rnacentral:rRNA from 1 species